rnacentral:sRNA from 1 species
UUUGCGAGGGAUUUGCAACGUGCGUCCGUGGUCUAGCAAAAUACCUGCAAUUCCCUCACAAAUUUGUUCCUCGCAAAACGACUGUUUUCUUGUAGUGUUAAAUGCCUAGGCUCAUGUAUGAUAGUUCAAAUAACAAGUACCUAUGGCGGGCAUACCUAUUAUCUAAUAUCAAGUUCUAGGUGAUCAAUCUUAAACUAGCAAUAAGAAUAAUCAAGAUGAAGAACUCUAAGAAUAAUCCAAAGGGGUUUUCGAUCUACUAAUCCAUCUAAAUCCCUAUUGAGACUUCCUAAACCCAACAAG